rnacentral:tRNA from 1 species
CCGCUCGUAGCUCAGCUGGAUAGAGCGUCGCCCUCCGGAGGCGAAGGUCACAGGUUCGAAUCCUGUCGAGCGGGCCA